GCUCAACAUGGAAGAUUUCCAGGAGGUAGAUGCGGACAUUGAUUGAAUUGUGGCAUUGAGGGAUGUAGAUUGAAAGGAGGCACAGGCCAUAGAUGAUAAAGGAGAGGAUGGGUUUUGAGCACACAACAACUCUCUUCGUGUUCAUGACAGAAAAAAGAGAGAGAAUCUCUGAGGGCAAGAAGGGAGGAAAGAACAAAGUAGCAACUUAUAAGUGGUCGAUCUUAAAGUGGUUUGUUGUUUCUUGUGAUAGAUGGAAUCAAUAGACAAUGAAUUGAUACAUGAAUUCAAACAUAA